rnacentral:rRNA from 1 species
UUCCGGUUGAUCCUGCCGGAGGCUACCGCUAUUGGAGUUCGAUUAAGCCAUGCGAGUCGCGAGUCUUCAAGGACUCGGCGUACCGCUCAGUAACACGUGGGUAACCUGCCCUGUGCUGGGGAAUAACCUCGGGAAACUGAGAAUAAUACCCCAUAGUUCACCACGCCUGGAACGGUGGGUGGAUGAAAGCUCCGGCGGCAUAGGAUGGGCCUGCGGCGUAUCAGGUUGUAGGGGGUGUAAUGUACCCUCUAGCCAUCUACGCGUACGGGUGUUGGGAGACAUCGCCCGGAGAUGGAUUCUGAGACACGAAUCCAGACCCUACGGGGUGCAGCAGGCGCGAAAACUUGGCAAUGCGAGCAAUCGUGACCAGGGAACUCCAAGUGCAUCGGGUAAGACCGAUGCUUUUCUUGACUCUUCAAAGGUCUUGGAAUAAGGGGUGGGUAAGGACGGUGCCAGCCGCCGCGGUAAUACCGGCGCCUCAAGUGGUAGUCGCUUUUAUUGGGCCUAAAACGUCCGUAGCCGGUUUGGUACAUUCGUGGGUAAAUCAAGGCGCUCAACGUCUUGAAUUCUGCGAGCACGGCCAGACUUGGGACCGGGUGAGGUGUGGGGUACUCUCAGGGUAGGGGUAAAAUCCUGUCAUCCUGAGAGGACCACCUGUUGCGAAGGCGCCACACUAGAACGGAUCCGACGGUCAGGGACGAAGCCUAGGGGCACGAACCGGAUUAGAUACCCGGGUAGUCCUAGGUGUAAACGCUGUGGACUUGAUGUUGGGAGUGCUCCGAGCACCCUCAGUGUCGAAGCGAAGGUGAUAAGUCCACUGCCUGGGGAGUACGGUCGCAAGGCUGAAACUUAAAGGAAUUGGCGGGGGAGCACUGCAACCUGAGGAUUGUGCGGUUUAAUUGGAUUCAACGCCGG